rnacentral:rRNA from 1 species
UACGAAGGGGGCUAGCGUUGCUCGGAAUCACUGGGCGUAAAGCGCACGUAGGCGGUGCGGUAAGUCCGCAGUGAAAUCUCUGGGCUCAACUCAGAGUCUGCUGUGGAAACUGCCGUGCUUGAGUGUGGGAGAGGUGAGUGGAAUUCCCGGUGUAGCGGUGAAAUGCGUAGAGAUCCGGAGGAACACCAAAGGCGAAGGCAGUGUCUUGGGGAGUACCUGACGCUCAGGUGCGAAAGCCAGGGGAGCGAACGGG